CUAGUGUGUGCGUGUGUGAGGUCGACCAGGAGAAAGCUCAGGGAGCUCAAACCCUAACUUCCACAACUUGAUCAAAUUGAAGCCCAAAUCAAGAGCCAAAUCACUGCAUGAACACAAAUUCGUGAUCACCUAAUCAUGGGGAUUACAAGUUUGACGCGUCACAAGCUAGGUGGAAGCUUGGAGUGAAAGCGGGUCAAACAAGGCAAGCAUGGAAGAAAGGCGUAGCUCGGAUGCAAGGAGCGAUUAGCGAUUCAGUUAAUUUCGCCCACGCUAAGUGUGAUGGUAAAAGCAAGGUAUAAAUUGGGUCUAUAUGUUGACCCUAGCCAGGUACACCUUGGAUGCCGGAAGACGAUCAAGCUCAGCGAAGAACCGAACACGAUAAUGAUACACGCUUCCGCAUUUUGCUACGUUGAAAUUUUUAAACAACGAAUUCGAUCACGUUAUGUAGAAUAACUUAUGAUUUAUUAAAAG